rnacentral:misc_RNA from 1 species
UGGUUCUGGCAUCGAUGAAGAACGCAGCGAAAUGCGAUAAGUAAUGCGAAUUGCAGAAUUCCGUGAGUCAUCGAAUCUUUGAACGCACAUUGCGCCCGUCAGUAUUCUGGCGGGCAUGCCUGUUCGAGCGUCAUUUCAAAUUUCUCAAGCCCCGGCCUCUUGGGGGCGUCGGCUUGGUGUUGGGGUUUCGCGGUACUACCCGCGAUCCCUUAAAGUCAGCGGCGAGUCAGCGUGGCUCUGGGCGCAGUAAAUAUUUUGCCGCCCCUGAGCUUGCACGUGCCACUCAGCCUCGCGGACAAGGCUGGGGCAAUUUGCCCCUCCGUGCCACUCGCAAUUUUGACCUCGGAUCAGGUAGGGAUACCCGCUGA